rnacentral:rRNA from 1 species
UACGUAGGGGGCAAGCGUUGUCCGGAAUUAUUGGGCGUAAAGAGCUCGUAGGCGGUGUGUCGCGUCGGCCGUGAAAACCUGCAGCUUAACUGUGGGCGUGCGGUCGAUACGGGCAUCACUGGAGUUCGGCAGGGGAGACUGGAAUUCUGGUGUAGCGGUGAAAUGCGCAGAUAUCAGGAGGAACACCCGGUGGCGAAGGCGGGGUCUCUGGGCCGAUACUGACGC